CCUACGGGAGGCUGCAGUGGGGAAUAUUGGACAAUGGGGGGAACCCUGAUCCAGCCAUGCCGCGUGUGUGAAGAAGGCCCUCGGGUUGUAAAGCACUUUCAGUGAGGAAGAACGCCUGGUGGUUAAUACCCAUCAGGAAAGACAUCACUCACAGAAGAAGCACCGGCUAACUCCGUGCCAGCAGCCGCGGCAAUACGGAGGGUGCGAGCGUUAAUCGGAAUUACUGGGCGUAAAGCGCGCGUAGGUGGCUUGAUAAGCCGGUUGUGAAAGCCCCGGGCUCAACCUGGGAACGGCAUCCGGAACUGUCAAGCUAGAGUGCAGGAGAGGAAGGUAGAAUUCCCGGUGUAGCGGUGAAAUGCGUAGAGAUCGGGAGGAAUACCAGUGGCGAAGGCGGCCUUCUGGACUGACACUGACACUGAGGUGCGAAAGCGUGGGUAGCAAACAGGAUUAGAUACCCCUGUAGUC
rnacentral:rRNA from 1 species